UACGGGGGGAGCAAGCGUUGUUCGGAUUUACUGGCGUAAAGGGCGCGUAGGCGGUCAGCACAAGUCGGUUGUGAAAUCUCCGGGCUUAACUCGGAAAGGUCAACUGAUACUGUGCGACUAGAGUGCGGAAGGGGCAACUGGAAUUCUCGGUGUAGCGGUGAAAUGCGUAGAUAUCGAGAGGAACACCUGCGGCGAAGGCGGGUUGCUGGGCCGACACUGACGCUGAUGCGCGAAAGCCAGGGGAGCGAACGGG
rnacentral:rRNA from 1 species